UACGUAGGUGGCAAGCGUUGUCCGGAAUUAUUGGGCGUAAAGCGCGCGCAGGCGGUCCUUUAAGUCUGAUGUGAAAGCCCACGGCUCAACCGUGGAGGGUCAUUGGAAACUGGGGGACUUGAGUACAGAAGAGAAGAGUGGAAUUCCAUGUGUAGCGGUGAAAUGCGUAGAGAUGUGGAGGAACACCAGUGGCGAAGGCGACUCUUUGGUCUGUAACUGACGCUGAGGCGCGAAAGCGUUGGGAGCAAACAGG
rnacentral:rRNA from 1 species